rnacentral:rRNA from 1 species
UAGGGAAUCUUCGGCAAUGGACGAAAGUCUGACCGAGCAACGCCGCGCGAGUGAAGAAGGUUUUCGGAUCGUAAAACUCUGUUGUUAGAGAAGAACAAGGACGUUAGUAACUGAACGUCCCCUGACGGUAUCUAACCAGAAAGCCACGGCUAACUACGUGCCAGCAGCCGGGGUAAUACGUAGGUGGCAAGCGUUGUCCGGAUUUAUUGGGCGUAAAGCGAGCGCAGGCGGUUUCUUAAGUCUGAUGUGAAAGCCCCCGGCUCAACCGGGGAGGGUCAUUGGAAACUGGGAGGCUUGAGUGCAGAAGAGGAGAGUGGAAUUCCAUGUGUAGCGGUGAAAUGCGUAGAUAUAUGGAGGAACACCAGUGGCGAAGGCGGCUCUCUGGUCUGUAACUGACGCUGAGGCUCGAAAGCGUGGGGAGCAAACAGG